UACGGAGGGUGCAAGCGUUAUCCGGAUUCACUGGGUUUAAAGGGUGCGUAGGCGGGUAAGUAAGUCCGUGGUGAAAUCUCUGAGCUUAACUCAGAAACUGCCGUGGAUACUAUUUGCCUUGAAUAUUGUGGAGGUGAGCGGAAUAUGUCAUGUAGCGGUGAAAUGCUUAGAUAUGACAUGGAACACCAAUUGCGAAGGCAGCUCACUACACAAUCAUUGACGCUGAGGCACGAAAGCGUGGGGAUCAAACAGG
rnacentral:rRNA from 1 species